rnacentral:rRNA from 1 species
AUUGAACGCUGGCGGCAUGCCUUACACAUGCAAGUCGAACGGUAGCACACCUUCGGCUUGCGCCGACUGGCGGCCAGGGGCGGAAUGGUGCGGAACGUACCCGAACCUACGUGUUAGCGGGGCAUAAGGUUUGCUAAUACACCAUAAGACCUCAUACGGACUACAGGUGAAAGCAGGGGAUCUUGGGGACUGGCCCGCCGGAAUGAGACGAUGUCGGAUUAGCUAGUUGGCGGGGUAAAGGCCUACCAAGGCGACGAUCCGUAGCUGGUCUGAGAGGAUGAUCAGCCACACUGGAACUGAGACACGGUCCAGACUCCUACGGGAGGCAGCAGUGGGGAAUAUUGGACAAUGGGCGCAAGCCUGAUCCAGCCAUGCCGCGUGGGUGAAGAAGGCCUUCGGGUUGUAAAGCGCUUUUGUUGGGAAAGAAAAGCCGCAGGUUAAUACCCCGGUGUUCUGACGGUACCCAAAGAAUAAGCACCGGCUAACUUCGUG